CGCUCUCUCCUCACUUUUUCCUUUUGUUUUUCCGCUUCUCUCUUUCGCUCUCUGCCUUUCGUUUUCACUUUGUUGUCUUUGUCUUCUCAGCUUUGCUCCUGCGCUUCGCACGCUGACUUCUUCACGUCUGAAGUCUUGCCGUUUUGUGGAGAUCGGGUUUUUUUGAGUUUGUGACUUUUCUUUGAAGCCUGCGAAGACCUCUGUGUUUAAGCUGAAGUAGCUAAAGUUAAGAAAGAACAAUUGUGGCUUAAAGUCUUCAUAUUUGAAAGUUGAAUCUCAGCCAUUGAAAGGCUUUGUGAACGUGUCCUCACGUGUGCAGCAGACCUUCAUAGCAAUUUGGGGAGGUUAUGAUAUGGAGGAGAAAGUUGCUAGAGCAUAUGGUCUUGCUGCUCUUAAGUACUGGGGUUCUUCAACUCAUAUAAACUUUCCGUUGGAUAUUUACACUGCACAACUUGAAGAGAUGAAUAACAUAAGCUGGCGGGAAUAUAUUGCGCAUCUGUGAAGACAUCACCAGCAUGGGAGAUGGCAAGCUAGGAUUGGCCGAGGUACUGGGAACAAGCAUCUUUAUCUUGGAACUUUUGGCACCCAAGAGGAAGCUGCAGAAGCUUAUGACAUAGCUGCAAUCAAGUGCCCUAGGACGACUCCAACCAGUAACCCAACUAUGGACUAUCAAACAGCUGAUUCUGAGCACGUUCUGAAGAGAUCAAGACCUUUCGAGAUAACAGAUGAGGCCAAUAAUCUGCCAGUAAAUAUGUUGCCUGUUGCGUAUCCUAAUCAGAGCCAUGGUCAGAGUUCCUACUCUUCUAAUGACUUGCCCAAGUCUGUUGUUAUGACUUUACGUCCAGGUUCAACUGUCAAGAGUAUGGAUUUCCACCCAAUGCAACAAAUUUUUCUUCUUGUUGGAACAAACAUGGGCGAUGUCAUGCUAUAUGAGCUACCAAGCCAUGAAAAAGAUUGCUAUUAAGAACUUCAAAGUUUGGGACCUUGGAGCAUGUUCAGCGGCUCUGCAGUUUACCAAGCCGCAGGGAUGAACAUAUACUGAGCCAAUACCAUGACGCCAAUCCAGAUGUUCCGCCGGAGAUUUCCUUGAUCAGGUCUUGCAUAAGUAUGCUAUUUCUGCUCCCAUUUCGAAACUCAAAGUGACUGUUUGGUUUGUCUCUUUAUUUAAGGGAAGUGAGGAGGCAAUGACUUGGUCGCCACCAUCAAGUUGUCAUAGUACAAGAGCGUGGCAAGAAAACGAUCACGGAAAUAGACGUCGAUGCCGUUCUUGUCAUUCGGGUUUAUUGUGACUAUGAGCAUCAGCUCCCACUCAAUGGUUAACUCGAAACUCGUCAUGUUGAGCUGGGAAAUGGUGGCUGACUCCACUCUGACUUUCAAUCUUCUAGAGGUAGUUUGUAAUACCACAAGAUCAAGGCCAUUGCAUGCAAUAUCCUAGACAAUCGCCACGAAUCGUUGCGCUACAACCCCUCUCAGGCCUCAUAAGGCGUAUUCACACAGUAAUUCGAGGAAAAACAUACGACGGGCUCAGUCAGAAUAAGAGAAUGGGAAAGGGUGAUGUCUACUAUUUUAAUGUCAUCUCAUUGAUAAUUGUCGAGUACAGUGAUUUCAAUUUUUAAGAUACUGGAAAAGCUAUUGCAUCUAUCUUCUACUUAUCGAACCUAGGUCACUUUUUAAUUUUAUUUUAUGGACCGAGUCUUUCUGUCAUGAUCAUUUUCAUGUGAUUUCUCUAAUAUAUUGCUACGCUUUCUUACGUAUCAA